GUUCUUUCCUCACGAGGAAAGCUAAGAGGGAAGCAGGUUGAAAUCCUGCGCGGUCCCGCCACUGUAAUGGAGGAGCUUAAUCUAAAGGUGCCACUGGCCUUAUGGCUGGGAAGGCGGAUCAAGCGACGAUUCCUGAGCCAGGAGACCUGCAUAGAAUA
rnacentral:ncRNA from 1 species